GAACGCUGGCGGCAGGCUUAACACAUGCAAGUCGAGCGGAGAUGAGGUGCUUGCACCUUAUCUUAGCGGCGGACGGGUGAGUAAUACUUAGGAAUCUGCCUAUUAGUGGGGGACAACAUCUCGAAAGGGAUGCUAAUACCGCAUACGCCCUACGGGGGAAAGCAGGGGAUCACUUGUGACCUUGCGCUAAUAGAUGAGCCUAAGUCAGAUUAGCUAGUUGGUGGGGUAAAGGCCUACCAAGGCGACGAUCUGUAACGGGUCUGAGAGGAUGAUCCGUCACACUGGGACUGAGACACGGCCCAGACUCCUACGGGAGGCAGCAGUGGGGAAUAUUGGACAAUGGGGGGAACCCUGAUCCAGCCAUGCCGCGUGUGUGAAGAAGGCCUUUUGGUUGUAAAGCACUUUAAGCGAGGAGGAGGCUACUUAGAUUAAUACUCUAAGAUAGUGGACGUUACUCGCAGAAUAAGCACCGGCUAACUCUGUGCCAGCAGCCGCGGUAAUACAGAGGGUGCAAGCGUUAAUCGGAUUUACUGGGCGUAAAGGGUACGUAGGUGGUCUUUUAAGUCGGAUGUGAAAUCCCUGAGCUUAACUUAGGAAUUGCAUUCGAUACUGAAAGACUAGAGUAUGGGAGAGGAUGGUAGAAUUCCAGGUGUAGCGGUGAAAUGCGUAGAGAUCUGGAGGAAUACCGAUGGCGAAGGCAGCCAUCUGGCCUAAUACUGACACUGAGGUACGAAAGCAUGGGGAGCAAACA
rnacentral:rRNA from 1 species